rnacentral:rRNA from 1 species
GAUCCUGGCUCAGAUUGAACGCUGGCGGCAUGCCUUACACAUGCAAGUCGAACGGCAGCAUGGAGAGCUUGCUCUCUGAUGGCGAGUGGCGAACGGGUGAGUAAUACAUCGGAACGUGUCCGUUUGUGGGGGACAACCGUCCGAAAGGAUGGCUAAUACCGCAUAAGACCUGAGGGUGAAAGCCGGGGACCGCAAGGCCCGGCGCAGACGGAGCGGCCGAUGAUUGAUUAGCUAGG